ACAAAAUUAUACAAUUUAAAUUAAAGCCUACCUUGAUACUUGAUAUCUAAAGUAGCGAUCCAUCGUAAGUCACCGGUCAAUUUGCAACUUAAAUCUUGUGCUUUCUUGAUCUUAACGCACAUAAACACAAAGAUUUGUUAAUUGAGUUGAUCUGAGCCAAGAUUUGGCACCUGGUACUUACUCUUUCUUUAAAGAUAAGCCUAUUAUAGUGGCUCUAAAAGUUUGAUACGUUAUUAAUAUGACUGUAUCCAAUAGAACUUUAGUUCAAAUUGCUGCCUGGGGUGGCAUAAUAGUGAGCACUACAGGGUUUUAUCUACAACACCGGUUAAUUGAUAAGACCCAGAAAAUAAUUUCGCAGAUGACAAAUCUGCUAGAUUUAAAAUUCCGGUGGCGGGUCCAAAAGAUAGAGGAACAUACAGUUUUUGGGCUGAAAAGAUCAAUGACGAAUGGAAACUAACUCGUGCUGAACUUGAAUUGAAAUCAAAACCAGAUUCCAAGUUGGUGAUAUUGAAAUAAGUAAAUGUGGUUAGAUAUUCCAGACUUCUAAUAAGG